GGCCAAAUUAAUUCAAGGUUAAGGAUUCCGCGCUCUGGAUCAUAUGAGUGGAUACGCGGGGACGGCAGUUCGAAUCUGCCUCGGGCUA
rnacentral:tRNA from 1 species